GUAGGUGAACCUGCGGAAGGAUCAUUACAGUAGUCGCCCGGGUUGCCGCAAGGCCUCCCGGGUAACCUACCACCCUUUGUUUAUUACACUUUGUUGCUUUGGCAAGCCUGCCCUCGGGCUGCUGGCUCCGGCCGGCGAGCGCUUGCCAGAGGACCUAAACUCUGUUUGUCUAUACUGUCUGAGUACUAUAUAAUAGUUAAAACUUUCAACAACGGAUCUCUUGGUUCUGGCAUCGAUGAAGAACGCAGCGAAAUGCGAUAAGUAAUGUGAAUUGCAGAAUUCAGUGAAUCAUCGAAUCUUUGAACGCACAUUGCGCCCCCUGGUAUUCCGGGGGGCAUGCCUGUCCGAGCGUCAUUACAACCCUCAAGCUCAGCUUGGUGUUGGGCCCCGCCGCCCCGGCGGGCCCUAAAGUCAGUGGCGGUGCCGUCCGGCUCCGAGCGUAGUAAUUCUUCUCGCUCUGGAGGCCCGGUCGUGUGCUCGCCAGCAACCCCCAAUUUUUUUCAGGUUGACCUCGGAUCAGGUAGGGAUACCCGCUGAACUUAAG
rnacentral:rRNA from 1 species